UGCCUGACGGCAAUAGCGCCGUGGAACCACCUGAUCCCAUGCCGAACUCAGAAGUGAAACGCGGUAGCGCCGAUGGUAGUGUGGCAUUCGCCAUGCGAGAGUAGGACACUGCCAGGCA
rnacentral:rRNA from 1 species